UAAGUACUAACACUGUUUUUUUAGUUUACAAAUAAUUUAAAUAUAAUAAAAAUAAUAAUUGUUUACUUUUGUCAUGACUAGUAUACCUAACGUAAGAAUCAUAAGGUGCAUAAUAUUCCAGUUUAUUAAACACAGUUCUUGGAAUACUUGAAUAGUAAAAUUUUAAUAGAUUAUGAUUAAACAUUGUACUGAAAAUGCCAAGAAGCUUGUUAUCGUCAUCAAACGCCAUCUCUGCAGUCAGCGAAAGAUUCUACGCGUCUACAUAUCACUAGCACCGCCUCUCUUAAACAUAGUUUGAGAAGGCAAGUAUAGAUGGCUCCCAAGGUAAUCAUCAAUACUUACUAUUAGGCUCAUGAGAUCAAACUUUUCUAUUAAGAUGGCUCCUUAAACAAAAUUAUGAAUAUUGUAAGGUUUCAAAAUAAAUAGUUAUUCAUA